rnacentral:rRNA from 1 species
UAGGGAAUCUUCGGCAAUGGACGAAAGUCUGACCGAGCAACGCCGCGUGAGUGAAGAAGGUUUUCGGAUCGUAAAACUCUGUUGUUAGAGAAGAACAAGGACGUUAGUAACUGAACGUCCCCUGACGGUAUCUAACCAGAAAGCCACGGCUAACUACGUGCCAGCAGCCGCGGUAAUACGUAGGUGGCAAGCGUUGUCCGGAUUUAUUGGGCGUAAAGCGAGCGCAGGCGGUUUCUUAAGUCUGAUGUGAAAGCCCCCGGCUCAACCGGGGAGGGUAAUUGGAAACUGGGAGACUUGAGUGCAGAAGAGGAGAGUGGAAUUCCAUGUGUAGCGGUGAAAUGCGUAGAUAUAUGGAGGAACACCAGUGGCGAAGGCGGCUCUCUGGUCUGUAGCUGACGCUGAGGCUCGAAAGCGUGGGGAGCAAACAGG